UACGGAGGGGGCAAGCGUUGUUCGGAAUUACUGGGCGUAAAGGGCGCGCAGGCGGCUGCUCAAGUCAGGCGUGAAAGGCCUGGGCUCAACCCGGGAAUUGCGCUUGAGACUGGGCUGGCUUGAGUGCGGGAGAGGAUGGUGGAAUUCCCAGUGUAGAGGUGAAAUUCGUAGAUAUCGGGAGGAACACCAAUGGCGAAGGCAGCUCGCUGGGACGGUACUGACGCUGAGACGCGAAAGCGUGGGGAGCAAACAGG
rnacentral:rRNA from 1 species